UACGGGGGGAGCAAGCGUUGUUCGGAUUUACUGGGCGUAAAGGGCGCGCAGGCGGUCGUGACAAGUCACUUGUGAAAUCUCCGGGCUUAACUCGGAAAGGUCAAGUGAUACUGUCGGACUAGAGUACAGAAGGGGCAACUGGAAUUCUCGGUGUAGCGGUGAAAUGCGUAGAUAUCGAGAGGAACACCUGCGGCGAAGGCGGGUUGCUGGGCUGAUACUGACGCUGAGGCGCGAAAGCUAGGGGAGCGAACGGG
rnacentral:rRNA from 1 species